GCCAUGACUUAAUUUCACUGACGCAACCUUUUUUUCCCUAUAGCUCAAGUGGGCGGGGCUUACCGUUCUGCGUGAUGAUACAGAUUUCCUUUGGCGGCCAAACCGAAAUGCUGAUGUCAGCAUUUUUGCUAACAGGUAAAAUUAAGAAAAACAAAACAAAACUAUACGAUACGGCUACUUCUUAGAGGGAACAAAUAGAAGAAGUGGGUAAUUUUAACAAUUGGUUUAUGAACAAGAGUCGGAGGCAGUUAUUAUAAUUGGCGGGCUAAUAUUGUUGCUAGCUAGUGCUAGCUAGUCUUUCUCCUGUACUUCACGUACCUGUUAGCUGAGCUACAGCCCGCGGAGCAUGAACCACGGACACAGCCAAGAAGUAGAACAACACCUGGUUCAAGCUCACAGAUCAGAUCACACCAUUUGUUGCUGUUUGAACCAACAAACCAACGUGACAAAGUACCUUCGACAGAUGACACAAAGGUGGAACUAUUUGUUUAAAAAAGACUGUGUGACACCAAUCAUUGAUUCAAGCCUAAUAUGUGAAGAAGGAUGAAGCUGUUUGAAUGUUGAUCAAACACAACUGUACUGCAAGACUGAAAAGAAGUAUAUUUCCACCAGCCUCAAUUGGUGCCAGGAAAGGGGCUCUUCUCAUUACUGCUCCUUGUGAUGGGUGUGAGUUUUUCCUCCAUGGCAGUGAGCUGCCAUCUUAAGCUGUCAUAGCCCAAAAGAUAUGGGACAAAAUGUACUCUUUAAUCACAAACCAUCGCAUCUGCUUUAAUCAACUCAACUGUCCACGCCAUGUCACUCCCUUUGCUGUCUAUGUGGACCAUGUACACAUGAGGAUUACAUUUGUCCGCUAUGUAUGGAAAGUCUCCCUCAUUAAAAGCAACAUCCUGGAUCUCAAUCAGAGCCUGUGUGUUUUUUUUUAAAGACUGAAUUCAAUAGAGGCUUUGGACUGUGAAAAGUUCAUUUAAAUUUGGACCAGGCAUAAAACACC
rnacentral:lncRNA from 1 species